AUGAUCUAUUGUUAUUUAUUCACCCUUCUUGGGGACAUAAUCUGGAAUCUGUCCAUGGUGAAACAUCAGGCAUCCCUUGACAGUCUAAAAGCCCCACCCUCGUUAGAGCCUUCUGUGGUUCAUUUAUUAAGGAGGGCAAGGUUGCUCUGCCAUUUCUCUACCAUUAUAGAAGAUUGGGCUAACUUGCCAAGUUUCACCAUUGCCAAUAUAGACUCUGAAGCAACAAAUACCUCAGAGGAUUCAAAGAUGAAAAAUCUCCUGUUUUUUGCUGCCUGUGGAGGUGACAACCAUCUCUUACUUGCAUCAUGGUCACCCUCAGACCUCCAGUGAUGAGUAAGAUCAUUAAGCCGAAGGCCAAGAAGUUUAUCCAGCACCAGGCAGACUGAUGUGUCAAAAUUAAGAGCAACUGAUGGAAACCCAGAAGCACUGACGAUAGGGUGUGCGGAAGAUUCAAGGUCCAGAUCUUGACGCCCAACACUCGUUACAGGAGCAACAAGAAAACAAAGCACAUGCUGCCCAGUGGCUUCCAGAAGUUCCUAGUCCACAAUGUAAAGGAGCUUGAAAUGCUGCUAAUGUGCAACAAAUCUCUCUGUGCUUUCAAUGUCUCCUCCAGGGACCACAAAACCAUUGUGGAAAGAGCAGCCUGGCUGACCAUCAAAGUCAGUAAUCCCAAUGCCAAGCUAUUCAGUGAAGAAAAUGAUUAGACAGCUUAUGUACAUGUAGUAUUUGUGUUAAUAAAACCAUAAAACUAGCAAUAAUUGCACACUUGCUACGCCUAUCAUCAGUUUACCAGACAAAGAGGUAGAGAGCUAAGGCAUUCCAGUAUGAUGGCUUUGAACAAAAUCAAUAAAAUUGUUGGAGGAGAGUAACCAAUAAAUAAUUUGAAGAAUUUGGAAGGUUUAGACAAUGGAGAGUAUCAUGUGCUAUGCAAAAAGAUUCAGACUUAAUAGUACAGGGGAUGAGGAGCUCUAUGGGAUAAAAGAGCUAUAAGCAGGCAAGAUGCAUGGUUCCAUCUGUAUGUAAAAAUUAUCAUCUGUGGCCCCUGUAGGAAAUAGCUUGGAGGGAAAUGAGAUACAAAUCAGGGAAUCAACUUAGAAAGUUGUUACAAAAACUCACAAACAAGGUGUUGGAUCAGGGAUGGCACUGAGGAAGAAAAGAAAGGAAUGGGUUUUUGCUAUUAACUCUUGGAAUGAUUUCUCUGAAACUUUAACAAAGUCUUGCUUCCAGUUUUGGCUUGUAUCAUCUACCUAGGGGCUUUCAAAUAAAUUUUUAUAUUAUUUAUUUGUUGGCCUCUAAGAGACCUUUUUUGAUGACUAUAUAUAUAUUUUUUUAAAUCACUAAACUAUAGAGCUUUCAUUGUGAGGAUAAAAAGAAUAAAUGGAUGUGAAAGCAUUUUGCAAAGUAUUACACAAAGUAUUACACAAAUGGAAACUAUUUUUAUUCCCAGUAAGUCAAUUUAGUUUACAAAGAGAAAAAAAAUCACUUCCCUACAUGUAAGCUCCCAUAAGCAAACUCCCCAGGCAGAAUGAAUCACUCUUAUAACCAUAGCACUUUUUUGUACUUCUAUCAUAACACCUCCAUUAAUUAUAAAUUGUUUAUGCAUUGGUUUUUCCUUGUAGCAUAUAAAUCCUUUAGAGGCAGAGAGAGAGUCUUAUGAAUCUUUGCAACCUGGUUUGUGGUAGACAGUAAGUGCUCAGUAAAUGUUAAUUGCAUGCAUGAAUGAAUGAUUAGUUCCCAGGAAAGGAUAAAGGCAGGUUGUAGGCAGCUGAUGGGGACUUCAAAAGUAAAAUAAAUAAUAGAGUAAAUGUGUUGAAAUGAGAAGAUUCAGGGUGAUUUGUGAUCAUAUAUUUUAUUUUAGUCUAGAAGAUAUACAUAGAUUUACUAAACUGCCAAAAUAUGGUAUCAACUUGCUCUCAGUAAAGUUAAAUAUUUUGUAACACUGAUAAUUAAACAUCCUUUUGCAGUAUUGUAUUCUUUACCCAUUCAUUUAGCAAAUUCUUUCCAGUGGCUGAUAAGUAUAGGACACUGUGCUAUGGUUUAUAAAUAGUCAUAUUCCUGUCCUCAUGAAGUUUGCUAUCCAUGGGGGAAGGAAGGGAAGACAACUGGCUCCAAACCAUAUUUUAUAAUAAUUACCAUUUAUCAUUUCUUAUAUUCAUUACAACCUUAUCAGGUAAGCAUUAUUAUGCUCAUUUUCCAAAAAGAACCUUAAGCUAAGAGAACUUUAUUAAUUUAUCUGGGCUCACUGAACUAGGAAGGGACUGAACCAUAUCGACUGAUCACAAGGAAAGGCGUCAAAGGUUAUUUUUUCAUUUCAGAAUCUAGAUUUUCUGGCAGUCACUGAGAUUAAUUCAGCAAAUAUUAAUAGAAUGCCAAGAAGGACAGAUGUUUAAAAUGAUAAGUUAUAAUAAUAAAGUUCCCAUCCUCAUGGAGUUUUUGGUUUGGGGGAAGGGUUUAGAAAAAUGAACAUAAUCAUAAAGUGGGAUUUUAACCAAGACUGACAGAUCUUGUGGGGGGAUAUGGUUCUCAGGAGCUAAGGAGUAUUGUGGUGUGGUGUGAAAAGUGUCCUGGGCUUGGGGGUUAAAGGCCACUAUUUAAGACCCCAUUCUAAUUCUCCUGCUUGGGGACUGAGGGUGAGACACUUAACAUUCUGGGCCUUACUGUCUUUUUAUGUUUUUCAAGAUUUUUAUUUGUUUAUUUGACAGAGAGAGAGAUCACAAGUAGGCAGAGAGGCAGGUGGUGGGGGGUGGCGGGUGGCAGGGGAAGCAGGGUCCCUGCUGAGCAGAGAUCCUGAUGAGGGGCUCAAUCCCAGGACCUGGGAUCAAGGCAGAGGCUUUAACCCACUGAGCCACCAAAGCACCCCGACCUUACUGUUUUUGUUUAUUAAACAUGAGUGAGGUUUCUACCUCAUUUCAAGAAUUAAUGGGUUCAGAUAAGGGAAAGCAGUUUCUAAAGUGCAGUACAGAUGAAUGAUAAAGGAAUCCAAUUUCCUAGAAGUGUCUCCUUGGUGUAAGAGCCAUCAAAUAAGAGAAAGCAUAGAGAAGUGAUUUAUAUAUUCCUCUCCCUAGUACAUAAUCUGGUGCCUGUCACAUAGUAAGUGCUUAAUAAAUACUUACUGAGCUUAGCUCCUGAAUUGGCUUCAAGAAAACAGAGAGGACCAAAUCUUUCUUCCAGCUAGUGGGGAGGACUUACUGUACCCAACUUCAUGGCACCUUCUGAAAACACGGAGCAGCUGUCAACAAAUACAUUAGUUAUAAUCCAAAGUGCCAUUUAAAUUGGGUAUUUUUGUUUGUUCAUUUGGUUGUAUUUUUAGAGGUUAUAUAUGUGGCUAUGUAUGUGUGUCUAAAAGAACUUAUUUGGGGGGUUGUGAUGACCAGUCUUCAUAUCUAUUUGGUUCUGUUAAGAAUCUAUUUGCUCCUCUCUAGUGGUAAAUUCUCACAGCAUGAAGCACUAUUGGGGUCUAGAAUAGUACCAUAUAUUCUCCAUGGAUGUCUAUAUUUCAACAGGUAUUAUAGACAUAAGCUAGGGGAUAAAGCUUAAGCCCAGUAAUGCUAUGCACUAGCCAGAGAAAGGAUUUAUUUGAGGAAGGUUGGAUUACUUAGCAGCAUCAAACCACCCCCCCCAGAGGCAGUUAUCUAUCUGCUUAUGAAGACUAGCUUUUUAGUUUGGAUCAUUGACCAGACAUAUACAUGCCUUUGCUACAGAUAUGAACAAAUAAGUACCACCUGCAAGUCUUAAUCUUGUGUGUGAUUACAGUGUUACUAUUAAUAAAAUCAUCU
rnacentral:lncRNA from 1 species